UGGCAACAGUAGCUAUCUUCCAUCUGAGACUCUUUUUCAUUGUUUCACUGCGUGAACUUGUUUAAUCCCUGCAGCAGGUUCCAUUGCCCUUCUCCUCUGCAGACGGGCCCAUCAGGCAGCUCACCCAAAGUUAAGUAGCCAGUCAGUUGUAGAACCAGGACUGGAGGCCAUGCAAGACUCUGGAACCCACGUUUUGAACCACUCUCCAUACUGCUUCUGUUUCUUAAGCAUCUACUAUGCUCUGUCCCAAACAGACACUUGCCCAACAAAAUCCUUACUUCAAGGCAGGUGCCAUCAUGACACCGAAGGGGAGACAAAGCCCAGAGAGUUAAGGAUUUGCUCUGUGUCUUUCCUUGGGCCACUCAGCGUAUGUUUACUGAGAGCUUCGUCUGUACCAGGCCUUUCUUAGACUGGUGCUGCCAGCCGUCGAGGUGAUCAUCAGAAGACAAAUGCGGCUCUGGUUCUGAUGUGUGUAUUUGGGGAAGAGACACACAAGAAAAAAAGAAAAUAUCAGAUGUUGUCAGAAUCAAAAUAAGAUGGUAUCAUGGGGAC
rnacentral:lncRNA from 1 species